UACGAAGGGGGCUAGCGUUGUUCGGAAUUACUGGGCGUAAAGCGUGCGCAGGCGGCUUCUCAAGUCAGGGGUGAAAGCCCAGAGCUCAACUCUGGAAUUGCCUUUGAGACUGAGUGGCUUGAGUACGAGAGAGGUGAGUGGAAUUCCCAGUGUAGAGGUGAAAUUCGUAGAUAUUCGCAAGAACACCAGUGGCGAAGGCGGCUCACUGGCCCAUAACUGACG
rnacentral:rRNA from 1 species